CAUAUCUAUUCGCCCCCUUCUAAAUAUUGGGGUCUUUAUCAAGAUUAUAUAUAAAAAAUUAUGGUUUAGGUUAGACACAUCAUAUGAUAGGUCAUAGACUCAUAUCGAUUGGUGUGGUCUAUUCUCACCUUUACGUGUCACCUUUAAAUUAUUUGAUUUACGGUUCAAUAAACUUUGUCAUGUUUUAGUUUCUAGACAACCUAUAUGGACAAAUUAAAACAAAUUGCUAAUAGUAAAUUAAAAUUUUGAUUUUCAGCUCCAUAAACUCUGUCACAUGUUGGCUUCUGAAGAGACUAUAUGGGCAUACCAUUUCAAAUAUAUUCAACUUGUUUUGUCAUGUCUACCUAUAUAAGUUCCAAUAUAUACAUAUAGAAAAAAACUAUUUACUAUUUAGAUUAGAAAUCAUGAUUUCCUCAACUAGUAAAUUAUGCACUGUCUUCAUGUUCAUCUGUCUCGUCGUUCUUCUUAUUUCUACAUCAGAGGCAGGAGACAAAAUUUGUAAAGUUAUGCAUCAUACAAAAUCGGAAUUUGGUUGUGUUAAAUCUGCUUGUAAUGAAGUCUGCAUCAACAUAGAACAUGCAACUUAUGGUUAUUGUGUGCCUCCAAUCCCAUAUUUUUCAUUUUGCUUCUGCUACUUGAAAUGUUGAGUAUAAAUAUAUAUAUUUUUUUUGACAAAAGAGUAUAAAUAUUUUAGUGGAUGGAAAUGGAAAAUAUUCUAGUUUUCUUUUUCUCUCUUUGUAUUCAGGGGAGGAUCCAGACAAUGUAGUCAUGUAUGGCUAAAUUAUCUUUGGUUUAUAAUACUAUGUAUUCAAAUGAUGCAGAACUAUAACAGAAUAAUCCCACUACCCUCUACCUUUUUUAUGUAGGUUCAAUCCCUGCAGGCUGCAAGACAAUUUUUAUGAUAAACUUUUUCAAAUUAAUUAUUUUAAAAAAAAAUUAUAUAAAUGAAGAACGCUGGAAAUUGAAUCUAGGACUUGUACAAGAAUAUAAAAUUGCCUUUGCCGUUAGACCAUUGAAUAGAAUGUGAAAUAUGUGCAACAUAUAUAAUCAAUAUUUUCAGGACUAGUAAACAUAAAAAAAAAAAAAAAAAGGGUAAUAAUCAUGUAUGGCUAUAGCCACACUCACCUAUA